UAUCGAUGUUAGAAAUUGUGC
ensembl:piRNA 21ur-547 ncRNA